GCCGCAGUAUUUUGACUGUGCGAAGGUAGCAUAAUCAAUAGUCUUUUAAUUGGAGGCUUGUAUGAAUGGUUGAAUGAGAUAUAUACUGUCUUUUUUAAAUUUUUAUAGAAUUUUAUUUUUUAAUUAAAAAGUUAAAAUAUAAUUAAAGGACGAGAAGACCCUAUAGAUCUUUAUUUUUGUUAAUUAUAAAUUAAAAAGGAUAAUUAAAUUUAUAAUUUAAUAAAAAAUUUUACUGGGGUGGUAUUAAAAUUUAAUUAACUUUUAUGAUUUAUUUACAUUAAUAUAUGAGUAAUUGAUCCAAUUUUAUUGAUUAAAAAUUUAAGUUACCUUAGGGAUAACAGCGUAAUUUUUUUUUAGAGUUCAUAUCGACAAAAAAGAUUGCGACCUCGAUGUUGGAUUAAU
rnacentral:rRNA from 1 species